UACAGAGGUCCCAAGCGUUGUUCGGAUUCAUUGGGCGUAAAGGGUGCGUAGGAGGGCAGGUAAGUCAGUGGUGAAAUCCUAGAGCUUAACUCUAGAACUGCCGUUGAUACUAUCUGUCUUGAAUAUUGUGGAGGUGAGCGGAAUAUGUUAUGUAGCGGUGAAAUGCUUAGAUAUGACAUAGAACACCAAUUGCGAAGGCAGCUCGCUACACAUAUAUUUGACUCUGAGGCACGAAAGCGUGGGGAUCAA
rnacentral:rRNA from 1 species